AGGUGCGAGGCUCAGGGAGUGAGGGGGAUACACAUUCUGCAGGACCUGGAGCGCGGGGGACGCGUUUGCCUGCCUGGCGCGCCCCGCUCUUCCGGCCGGGUGUCCGCUGUCGGGGCCGGGCGGCGGGCGAGGAUGUGCUCGGCGCUGGGGAAGGUGCUCUGCCUGGGGAAGGAAAUGUUUCUAAAACAGGCAUUUGCUCUUAGCAGAGUAACAGCGUCCAGAGAGAGCCCCAUCUGUGCUGUAGGUAAGAACUCACUGUAGAUUUUGAAUACAAUACACUAAAAACCUUCUUGUACCCGAAACAAAUAUUC